GACGAACGCUGGCGGCGUGCUUAACACAUGCAAGUCGAACGGAAAGGCCCUGCUUUUGUGGGGUGCUCGAGUGGCGAGCGGGUGAGUAACACGUGAGUAACCUGCCCUUGACUUUGGGAUAACUUCAGGAAACUGGGGCUAAUACCGGAUAGGAGCUCCUGCUGCAUGGUGGGGGUUGGAAAGUUUCGGCGGUUGGGGAUGGACUCGCGGCUUAUCAGCUUGUUGGUGGGGUAGUGGCUUACCAAGGCUUUGACGGGUAGCCGGCCUGAGAGGGUGACCGGCCACAUUGGGACUGAGAUACGGCCCAGACUCCUACGGGAGGCAGCAGUGGGGAAUAUUGCACAAUGGGCGGAAGCCUGAUGCAGCAACGCCGCGUGCGGGAUGACGGCCUUCGGGUUGUAAACCGCUUUCGCCUGUGACGAAGCGUGAGUGACGGUAAUGGGUAAAGAAGCAUCGGCUAACUACGUG
rnacentral:rRNA from 1 species